CCGGCUCUCGCCUGGUGGCGUUAAUAUAUCUCGCUGGGGCAUCCAAAAUGUUGUACCCGAGCGAGUUAGAAAAACAACACACUUUGAGACGAAUUAAGAAUCCUUUAUUAG
rnacentral:pre_miRNA from 13 species